AAGCAGUACAUGAGAAUUGGAGGAAAUUAAUCCCACUAGCGCAUUACUGGGUUUAAUUUCCUCCAAUAUCUCAUCUACUGUUU
rfam:Vitis vinifera, whole genome shotgun sequence of line PN40024, unoriented chromosome 1, chr1